GGAGUAAGACCCUCUUGUCUGGAAGGAGUGUUGGUGGUGUAUAUCGAUUCGUAUGCAGACAGUGUCCAACAUUCUUUUUUUGAUGAAAAUAGUAACUAGUUGUUUAAUGCAACAACAGGAAGAAGAUACUUUUUCAGAUUUCACCAUCGAAGUAAAACUAGAAGUGUUCCAGUUGUCUUUUAACUUUGGAAACUAAUAUAUAAAGAAACAUAGAAGUCUCCUGCCUCAUCCCUGCUUUUGAACUGAGUCUUCUGAGUGGCAACUGCAUCACAGCAGCUUCUGCUAAUGCAAGAUUAAAGACAGAAGGCCUCCUUUAUGCUGUAUAAGUGGAUCCUAUAUUCUGUUUGUACACCAUUAUUCAGUAUACCCAGAAUGUUUUCUUGCCCCAGUGUGUGUGCCUCUAUUCACCUAGACAGAGUUGUGAACCUGAACGAUUCUCAACUGUGAGAUUUUUCUUGUGCAAGUGAUGAAAUGGAGAAAAGUCUGUUCUGGAAACCAGUUCAAGAAGUUUCUUCAGCACAUACGAUUUUCUGUGAACGACAAAAGAAAGAGUAAUUUCGUAAACUACUAUCACAUUGACUACAAAUCAGCUGCUCCAGACUUGUGUCCUAAGUGGUUUGCCAAAACAAUGGAAAUUUUAGAGAAUACAGGCAAUUUACAGAAAAAAAUCUCUA